rnacentral:rRNA from 1 species
UAUACGACCGUACCGCAAACCGACACUGGUGCGCGAGAUGAGUAUUCUAAGGCGCUUGAGAGAACUCAGGAGAAGGAACUCGGCAAAUUGACACCGUAACUUCGGAAGAAGGUGUGCCCUAUUAGUGUGUAGUGAACAACGAAGCAUGAAUGGGUUGCAAAAAAUCGGUGGCUGCGACUGUUUAUUAAAAACACAGCACUCUGCAAACACGAAAGUGGACGUAUAGGGUGUGACGCCUGCCCGGUGCUGGAAGAUUAAAUGAUGGGGUGCAAGCUCUUGAUUGAAGUCCCAGUAAACGGCGGCCGUAACUAUAACGGUCCUAAGGUAGCGAAAUUCCUUGUCGGGUAAGUUCCGACCUGCACGAAUGGCGUAACGAUGGCCACACUGUCUCCUCCUGAGACUCAGCGAAGUUGAAAUGUUUGUGAUGAUGCAAUCUCCCCGCGGAAAGACGGAAAGACCCCAUGAACCUUUACUGUAGCUUUGUAUUGGACUUUGAACAGAUCUGUGUAGGAUAGGUGGGAGGCUUUGAAGCAGGGUCGCUAGAUCUUGUGGAGCCAACGUUGAAAUACCACCCUGGUGUGUUUGAGGUUCUAACCUAGGUCCAUUAUCUGGAUCGGGGACAGUGCAUGGUAGGCAGUUUGACUGGGGCGGUCUCCUCCCAAAGCGUAACGGAGGAGUUCGAAGGUACGCUAGUUACGGUCGGACAUCGUGACGAUAGUGCAAUGGCAUAAGCGUGCUUAACUGCGAGACUGACAAGUCGAGCAGAUGCGAAAGCAGGACAUAGUGAUCCGGUGGUUCUGUAUGGAAGGGCCAUCGCUCAACGGAUAAAAGGUACUCUGGGGAUAACAGGCUGAUACCGCCCAAGAGUUCAUAUCGACGGCGGUGUUUGGCACCUCGAUGUCGGCUCAUCUCAUCCUGGGGCUGUAGCCGGUCCCAAGGGUAUGGCUGUUCGCCAUUUAAAGAGGUACGUGAGCUGGGUUUAAAACGUCGUGAGACAGUUUGGUCCCUAUCUUCCGUGGGCGCUGCAGAUUUGAGGAAGCCUGCUCCUAGUACGAGAGGACCGGAGUGGACACACCUCUGGUGUAUCGGUUGUCACGCCAGUGGCAUUGCCGAGUAGCUAAGUGUGGAAGAGAUAACCGCUGAAAGCAUCUAAGCGGGAAACUCGUUUCAAGAUGAGAUCUGCCGGGGCCUUGAGCCCCCUAAAGAGUC